AUUGAACGCUGGCGGCAGGCCUAACACAUGCAAGUCGAACGGUAGCACAGAGAGCUUGCUCUCAGGUGACGAGUGGCGGACGGGUGAGUAACGUCUGGGAAACUGCCCGAUGGAGGGGGAUAACUACUGGAAACGGUAGCUAAUACCGCAUAACGUCGCAAGACCAAAGUGGGGGACCUUCGGGCCUCACACCAUCGGAUGUGCCCAGAUGGGAUUAGCUAGUAGGUGGGGUAAUGGCUCACCUAGGCGACGAUCCCUAGCUGGUCUGAGAGGAUGACCAGCCACACUGGAACUGAGACACGGUCCAGACUCCUACGGGAGGAAGCAGUGGGAAAUAUUGCACAAUGGGCGCAAGCCUGAUGCAGCCAUGCCGCGUGUAUGAAGAAGGCCUUCGGGUUGUAAAGUACUUUCAGCGGGGAGGAAGGCGGUGGAGUUAAUAACUUCACCGAUUGACGUUACCCGCAGAAGAAGCACCGGCUAACUCCGUGCCAGCCGCCGCCGUAA
rnacentral:rRNA from 1 species